AUGGCAGACCACCUUCAAGUUCAGCAGCAACAACAACAUGUUAGAGCUUCCACCGGGGUUCAGGUUCCACCCUACUGAUGAGGAGAUCAUCACCUCCUACCUUGCCCCUAAGAUUCUCAACCCAGCGUUCAACGCCACAGCGAUCGGUGAGGUGGACCUGAAUAAGAACGAGCCAUGGGAGCUUCCCAACAAGGCCAAGAUGGGGGAGAAUGAGUGGUACUUUUACUGCCAGAAGGACCGCAAGUACCCCACCGGGAUACGAACCAACCGGGCCACGAAGGCCGGCUACUGGAAGGCCACGGGUAAGGACAAAGAGAUCGUCAACCCACAUUGCAUGUCCAUGCUCAUGGGCAUGAAGAAGACAUUGGUGUUCUACAAGGGCAGAGCUCCCAGCGGGGAGAAGACCAACUGGGUCAUGCACGAGUACAGGCUCGAGAUCGGCAAGCAGUCAACAUCCGGCCUGCCCACCACCAUCGCAAAUGCCGCUUCCAAUAACGUGUCUUCUAAGGAGUAUGUGGUUUGCAGGAUCUUCCAUAAGAACACUGGAAGUGGGGUGUCAUCCAUGGUGUCACAUGAGGACGUUGGGACCGGUCCUGGCAACAACGACCAGGGCAACGGCGGUGCAACAACCACCGACAAGAUCUUGUCGAUGAGCAUGCGUACAGGUGGGGCAUGUUGAAGUACUAAUAAUCAGAUGAUCCAAGAAAACAUAUAUGUGUGUCUGUGCAUUAAUUAAUCAUCCAUCAGAAGAUCGGUCGAUAUAUACCAACAUCUAUAUUGGUUUGCACCGCAUUUUAUUUUUCAGUGUGAUUCCAAGAGAGUUUGCAUGCGCUGGCUCAUCUGGCUUGCCUCUCUUGUGCUAGUGUUGUGUGUAUUUGUAUCGGCUUGUACAUGCACCACAUAACUGGUGUAUAUCUAGCUACAUUUGCAUUGUAAACUUCCUAGGAGUGUACACCAUGCAUGUUUUAAACCUAUAUAGAAUGUACUAUUUUGUUAAA